rnacentral:rRNA from 1 species
UACGAAGGGGGCUAGCGUUGUUCGGAAUUACUGGGCGUAAAGCGCACGUAGGCGGACUGUCAAGUCAGGGGUGAAAUCCCGGGGCUCAACCUCGGAACUGCCUUUGAUACUGUCAGUCUAGGGUCCGGGAGAGGUGGGUGGAACUCCUAGUGUAGAGGUGAAAUUCGCAGAUAUUCGGAAGAACACCGGUGGCGAAGGCGGCCCACUGGCCCGGAACUGACGCUGAGGUGCGAAAGCGUGGGGAGCAAACAGG